rnacentral:rRNA from 1 species
GACAGAGGGUGCAAACGUUGUUCGGAAUCACUGGGCUUAAAGCGCGUGUAGGCGGGCGGGUACGUCGGCGACUGAAAGCCCCCGGCUCAACCGGGGAAGUGGUGCCGAAACGGCCGGCCUGGAGGGGCGUAGGGGGACCUGGAACUUCCGGUGGAGCGGUGAAAUGCGUUGAGAUCGGAAGGAACGCCCGUGGCGAAAGCGAGGUCCUGGACGCCAACUGACGCUGAGACGCGAAAGCCAGGGGAGCGAACGGG